GACGAACGCUGGCGGCGUGCUUAACACAUGCAAGUCGAACGGAAAGGCCCUGCUUUUGUGGGGUGCUCGAGUGGCGAACGGGUGAGUAACACGUGAGUAACCUGCCCUUGACUUUGGGAUAACUUCAGGAAACUGGGGCUAAUACCGGAUAGGAGCUCCUGCUGCAUGGUGGGGGUUGGAAAGUUUCGGCGGUUGGGGAUGGACUCGCGGCUUAUCAGCUUGUUGGUGGGGUAGUGGCUUACCAAGGCUUUGACGGGUAGCCGGCCUGAGAGGGUGACCGGCCACAUUGGGACUGAGAUACGGCCCAGACUCCUACGGGAGGCAGCAGUGGGGAAUAUUGCACAAUGGGCGGAAGCCUGAUGCAGCAACGCCGCGUGCGGGGUGAUGGCCUUCGGGUGGUAAACCGCUUUCGCCUGUGACGAAGCGUGAGUGACGGGAAUGGGUAAAGAAACACCGGCUAACUACGU
rnacentral:rRNA from 1 species